rnacentral:ncRNA from 1 species
GAGUUUGAUCAUGGCUCAGAUUGAACGCUGGCGGCAGGCCUAACACAUGCAAGUCGAGCGGUAACAGAUCUAGCUUGCUAGAUGCUGACGAGCGGCGUGCGGGUGAGUAAUGCAUAGGAAUCUGCCCGGUAGUGGGGGAUAACCUGGGGAAACCCAGGCUAAUACCGCAUACGUCCUACGGGAGAAAGGGGGCUUCGGCUCCCGCUAUUGGAUGAGCCUAUGUCGGAUUAGCUAGUUGGUGAGGUAAAGGCUCACCAAGGCAACGAUCCGUAGCUGGUCUGAGAGGAUGAUCAGCCACAUCGGGACUGAGACACGGCCCGAACUCCUACGGGAGGCAGCAGUGGGGAAUAUUGGACAAUGGGGGCAACCCUGAUCCAGCCAUGCCGCGUGUGUGAAGAAGGCCCUCGGGUUGUAAAGCACUUUCAGCGAGGAAGAACGCCUGUCGGUUAAUACCCGGCAGGAAAGACAUCACUCGCAGAAGAAGCACCGGCUAACUCCGUGCCAGCAGCCGCGGUAAUACGGAGGGUGCAAGCGUUAAUC